rnacentral:lncRNA from 1 species
CCACCCUGACAUGAAGAAGAGACUGGUCAUGUCAACCUCAGGGAAAGAACUCUCAAAGACCUCAAAUGACUGAGGAAAGAGAGCAGCAGGAAGCUGUGAGUGGGAGAAAGUUAGAACAUUCAGAUCAAAGAAGCUUCAUAGACUGGUCAAGGACCAAGAACCAUUUUCACUGACAGCAUAUCAGCAAAAAAUAAAUGCAUUUGGAAAUGAAUUUGAAGUUAAUGUGAAAAUGCACCAUGAAGAAAAAAGGAUAAGGGUUGAAAUGAUUAAUUUAUUGCAAAAUAAUUUUGUCCAGACACGAGUGAUUUUCUUCUGCUCUAAUUUUAGUCCUUGCACUAUAGGCAUAAAAU